GAGUUUGAUCCUGGCUCAGAUUGAACGCUGGCGGCAGGCCUAACACAUGCAAGUCGAGCGGAAACGAGUUAACUGAACCUUCGGGGAACGUUAACGGCGUCGAGCGGCGGACGGGUGAGUAAUGCCUGGGAAAUUGCCCUGAUGUGGGGGAUAACCAUUGGAAACGAUGGCUAAUACCGCAUAAUAGCUUCGGCUCAAAGAGGGGGACCUUCGGGCCUCUCGCGUCAGGAUAUGCCCAGGUGGGAUUAGCUAGUUGGUGAGGUAAUGGCUCACCAAGGCGACGAUCCCUAGCUGGUCUGAGAGGAUGAUCAGCCACACUGGAACUGAGACACGGUCCAGACUCCUACGGGAGGCAGCAGUGGGGAAUAUUGCACAAUGGGCGCAAGCCUGAUGCAGCCAUGCCGCGUGUAUGAAGAAGGCCUUCGGGUUGUAAAGUACUUUCAGCAGUGAGGAAGGUGGGUAUGUUAAUAGCAUACUCAUUUGACGUUAGCUGCAGAAGAAGCGCCGGCUAACUCCGUGCCAGCAGCCGCGGUAAUACGAAGGGGUGCAAGCGUUUAUC
rnacentral:rRNA from 1 species